AGCGAACGCUGGCGGCAGGCUUAACACAUGCAAGUCGAGCGGGCACUUUCGGGUGUCAGCGGCGGACGGGUGAGUAACGCGUGGGAACGUGCCCUCUGGUUCGGAAUAACUCAGGGAAACUUGAGCUAAUACCGGAUACGCCCUUUUGGAGAAAGGCUUGCUGCCGGAGGAUCGGCCCGCGUCUGAUUAGCUAGUUGGUGAGGUAACGGCUCACCAAGGCGACGAUCAGUAGCUGGUCUGAGAGGAUGAUCAGCCACACUGGGACUGAGACACGGCCCAGACUCCUACGGGAGGCAGCAGUGGGGAAUAUUGGACAAUGGGCGCAAGCCUGAUCCAGCCAUGCCGCGUGAGUGAUGAAGGCCUUAGGGUUGUAAAGCUCUUUUAUCCGGGACGAUAAUGACGGUACCGGAGGAAUAAGCCCCGGCUAACUUCGUG
rnacentral:rRNA from 1 species